AUGGCAAUGAGAUCGGCACUGAGUCGAGGAAUCGCGACUCGUUCAAUGGACUCAACAUCUCGUGGAGCUUUCACUCGCUUCUUCAGCAACAAAGGUAAGGUUCUCAGCGAGGAAGAACAGGCCAAAGAAAACGUCUACAUCCAGAAAUGGGAGAGGGAGAGGUUGGAGAAACAGAAGCAAGCGGCUGAGAAGGCUAAGGCGGAGAGAGCCAAAGAGAGUGCUGAUGACAAGAAAUCUGAUGGGACUCAAAAGAGCUGA